rnacentral:rRNA from 1 species
CCCUACGGGGGGCAGCAGUGAGGAAUAUUGGUCAAUGGGCGCGAGCCUGAACCAGCCAAGUCGCGUGAGGGAAGACGGUCCUAUGGAUUGUAAACCUCUUUUGUCGGGGAGCAAAAGACGCCACGUGUGGCGUUCCGAGAGUACCCGAAGAAAAAGCAUCGGCUAACUCCGUGCCAGCAGCCGCGGUAAUACGGAGGAUGCGAGCGUUAUCCGGAUUUAUUGGGUUUAAAGAGUGCGCAGGCGGAAGAUCAAGUCAGCGGUAAAAUUGAGAGGCUCAACCUCUUCGAGCCGUUGAAACUGGUUUU